CUUGCUAAGCUGCAACUGACGCUGAGGCUCGAAAGCAUGGGUAGCGAACAGGAUUAGAUACCCUGGUAGUCC
rnacentral:rRNA from 1 species